UUUGCUGACCGCAAAUAGGGGUUAGAUCUUUUUCAAUCCCUUUAGCACAAACCCAAAAUCAGUUUCAUAUGAAUCCUAAAAAGAAGGGUUAGAUCUAAGGUUUUGUUCACGGAAACCUUUCUCUUUUCAUUGAAUCUCUCUUCCGAUUUACUUCUUUGUAUCCUAUUUUAGAAAGCAAACUCUAAAAAAAGAAGACUUUCAAACCUCGAAGAGGUUUCGGAUCCAAAACGAUCCACUGUAAAACCUCCUCCUAUCCUCGGGUUCCAAAUGAAGAUUAAUUCCGGUGACUUCCCCCGAUGAGUACCCCAAACAAAACACGCAAGCAAGAAAAACAGUAAAUAAUACCUUUUGAGUGUUAAAAAAAGCUUGAUUGUAUUCCUUGUUUUGAAAAGAAAGAAUUACAGGGAAGUUUUUUUUCUUUUUCUCCUCUCCCUUUUCCCAGAAAAAAAUUACCUUUCUUUUGUGAUUUUUUCUAUAUAUAUAUCUACUAGAAUCUUAACAAACUCUCCUUUCUCAUCUUUUUUGUUUUUUUUUUUGUCUCUUAUCUCUUGCAGGUAAGCUUUGUGACUUGUAAAAUCCCCCAUUGUUACUGUUACAGAGAGGGUUAAGGUAACAAUUCGUACAACUUCAUCAGGAGAUUUUGUGUGUCUCACACGCGUUGCGAAACCGGACGGUCUAUUUCCUUGGACAUCAUUGGCGGCGCGGAAGUGCAACAUUCAAGGAUUAGGUUUGCGCUUGAGCCGUUAGAUCAUUCUAGAUCUAAUGGUUGUAGUUUUUGAUGGCUAUAGAUGAAACCACAGUUUAGGGGCGUUUGAUCUGGUUGGUGGUGGAUCCAUGGGGAUGUUAUUUGUGGUGAAUCUUGAAGGGAAGGCUUAUAGUUGCAAGCACUGCAAAAUCCAACUUGCUCUUUGUGAUGAUAUUGUCUCAAAGUCCUUCCACUGCAGUCAUGGGAAAGCAUAUCUCUUCAGUAAGGUGUAAGUUUUCUCAGUUUUAGACACCUCAUUUGUGUGUGUUAACCAACUACUGUAAUAUUUGCCCAUGCUAUAAGGUGUCGAGCUACUUCUAUAACGACACAAGUAACGACGAUGUUGUCAAACUAUGUUGCACUCAUAAUUUCUUGCUUAAUGGACGACGAAAAAUUGUUCUUGGUGAA